GUGCCAGCAGCCGCGGUAAUACGGAGGGUGCAAGCGUUGUCCGGAUUUAUUGGGUUUAAAGGGUGCGUAGGCGGCUGAUUAAGUCAGCGGUGAAAGUUUUCGGCUCAACCGAGAGACUGCCGUUGAUACUGGUUGGCUUGAGUUAUGGAGGGGUACAUGGAAUUUAUGGUGUAGCGGUGAAAUGCAUAGAUACCAUAAGGAACACCGAUAGCGAAGGCAUUGUACUGGCCAUAAACUGACGCUGAGGCACGAAAGCGUGGGUAGCGAACAGGAUUAGAUACCUGGUAGUCCACGCCGUAAACGAUGAUCACUCGCUUUAAAGUACGUAGUACUGUGAGGCCAAGCGAAAGCGUUAAAGUGAUCCACCUGGGGAGUACGGUCGCAAGAUUGAAACUCAAAGGAAUUGACGG
rnacentral:rRNA from 1 species